rnacentral:lncRNA from 1 species
GCAUGCAUAUGAGCGUAUAAGAAACUAAGGAAAACAAAAAUUUACAUCUAACUAUUAGAUAAAAAAUGACUUAACAUAAACAUCAGAUCUGAAUCUGAAUUUAUACAAGACAUAAAUCAUUAGUUUCACAUCUAAAUAUCCAUGAAAACCUGCUCAAGAUUAGAUCCGAAUAUACAUCAAAAUCUGGUUAAAAUCUGACCUGAAUAUCCACAG